UACGGAGGAUGCAAGCGUUAUCCGGAAUGAUUGGGCGUAAAGCGUCCGCAGGUGGCUAUGUAAGUCUGCUGUUAAAGAGUGAGGCUCAACCUCAUAAAAGCAGUGGAAACUACAUGGCUAGAGUGCGUUCGGGGCAGAGGGAAUUCCUGGUGUAGCGGUGAAAUGCGUAGAGAUCAGGAAGAACACCGGUGGCGAAAGCGCUCUGCUAGGCCGCAACUGACACUGAGGGACGAAAGCUAGGGAGCGAAUGGG
rnacentral:rRNA from 1 species